GAUGAACGCUGGCGGCGUGCCUAACACAUGCAAGUCGAACGAAGCGCUUAGAAGUUUUCGGACGGAAGAGUGACUGAGUGGCGGACGGGUGAGUAACGCGUGGAUAACCUGCCUCAUACAGGGGGAUAACAGUUAGAAAUGACUGCUAAUACCGCAUAAGCGCACAGUACCGCAUGGUACAGUGUGAAAAACUCCGGUGGUAUGAGAUGGAUCCGCGUCUGAUUAGCUAGUUGGCGGGGUAACGGCCCACCAAGGCGACGAUCAGUAGCCGACCUGAGAGGGUGACCGGCCACAUUGGGACUGAGACACGGCCCAGACUCCUACGGGAGGCAGCAGUCGGGAAUAUUGCACAAUGGAGGAAACUCUGAUGCAGUGACGCCGCGUAUAGGAAGAAGGUCUUUGGAUUGUAAACUAUUGUCGACAGGGAAGAAAAAAAUGACAGUACCUGUGGAGGAAGCUCCGGCUAACUACGUG
rnacentral:rRNA from 1 species